GCGCAAAUUGCUGUGGAAUGCUGAGAACAUUUCGUUCUCUUCAUGCACCAACCAGAAUUAUUACAUGCUGGUAAUUAUCUAUAAACGUUAACAUUUAGGAGACUACAGUCAGGGCUGGGGAUCUCUACCAGGGCUGUGUUCCUUCCUUGUUGACACGUCGCCGUGGGAUAACACAUGCCAGCGUAACAGUUAAAACCUUGACACCUGUCAUCACUCCGUCACUAUGGCUUCCCGCUUGCUUGAAAGGGGUCAGUAAAAAGACCCAGAGGUGUCAGCCUUUGAAAUGUAAUCGCUGCUACUUCAUGCAGGCUAAUACAGCCAUGCAGAAGGCGGUGAGGAAUGGGGCAAAGACUUUCGGAAAUCAGCGCUACUACAGUAUGUACUUGUGUCAGUCUGGAGAGCUGCCUAUGUUUCCAUCUGUCUCAGAGGAGCAUCUGAUCCGUCUCUCUAGGUUCUGGCUCUGUCACCGUCCGUCCAUCUGUCAGGAGCAGGCGAAGCUGCGGCACCGACAGAUCCAAGCUCCUAAUCACAGUCUGCCUGUACAGAUACUGUACAUGGGCUUCAGUUUUGGUGAAUUUGGUAUUUAUUAUUCCUUCGUUUUUUUUACAUGCAAAUGCUGUUUUGUGCAAUGCAAUGUUAACGGAUAAAUCUACAAUUAAAAAAAUGAAAAGAAAA